CAAUAGCGUAUAUUAAAGUUGUUGCGGUUAAAAGCUCGUAGUUGGAUUUCUGCCUGAGGCAGCCGGUCCGCACUUAGUGCGUGUAUCUGGUUUGGUUUGGGCAUCCUCUUGGGGAUCGUUGCUGUGCUUAGUUGCAUGGUGCGGAAUUCAAGACGUUUACUUUGAGGAAAUUAGAGUGGUUACGGCAAGCUAUCGCUUUGAAUACAUUAGCAUGGAAUAAUAAUAUAGGGCGUAAGUUCUAUCUUGUUGGUUUCUAGGACCGAAGUAAUGAUUAAUGGGGACAGUUGGGGGCAUUCAUAUUCCAUUGUCAGAGGUGAAAUUCUUGGAUUAACGGAAGAUGAACUUCUGCGAAAGCAUCUGCCAAGGAUGUUUUCAUUGAUCAAGAACGAAAGUUAGGGGAUCGAAGACGAUCAGAUACCGU
rnacentral:rRNA from 1 species